GAUGAACGCUGGCGGCGUGCCUAAUACAUGCAAGUCGAGCGAACGGACGAGAAGCUUGCUUCUCUGAUGUUAGCGGCGGACGGGUGAGUAACACGUGGAUAACCUACCUAUAAGACUGGGAUAACUUCGGGAAACCGUAGCUAAUACCGGAUAAUAUUUUGAACCGCAUGGUUCAAUAGUGAAAGACGGUCUUGCUGUCACUUAUAGAUGGAUCCGCGCUGCAUUAGCUAGUUGGUAAGGUAACGGCUUACCAAGGCAACGAUGCAUAGCCGACCUGAGAGGGUGAUCGGCCACACUGGAACUGAGACACGGUCCAGACUCCUACGGGAGGCAGCAGUAGGGAAUCUUCCGCAAUGGGCGAAAGCCUGACGGAGCAACGCCGCGUGAGUGAUGAAGGUCUUCGGAUCGUAGAACUCUGUUAUUAGGGAAGAACAUAUGUGUAAGUAACUGUGCACAUCUUGACGGUACCUAAUCAGAAAGCCACGGCUAACUACGUG
rnacentral:rRNA from 1 species